rnacentral:rRNA from 1 species
GCUUACGGCCAUACCACCUUGAAUGCGCCCGAUCUUGUCUGAUCUCGGAAACUAAGCAGGUUCAGGUCUGGUUGGUACUUGGAUGGGAGACCGCCUGGGAAUACCAGGUGCUGUAAGUU